UACGAAGGGGGCAAGCGUUGUUCGGAAUUACUGGGCGUAAAGGGCGCGUAGGCGGCUUAUCAAGUCAGGCGUGAAAUUCCCGGGCUCAACCUGGGGGCUGCGCUUGAUACUGAUUGGCUUGAAUCCGGGAGAGGGAUGCGGAAUUCCAGGUGUAGCGGUGAAAUGCGUAGAUAUCUGGAGGAACACCGGUGGCGAAGGCGGCAUCCUGGACCGGUAUUGACGCUGAGGCGCGAAAGCCAGGGGAGCAAACGGG
rnacentral:rRNA from 1 species